rnacentral:rRNA from 1 species
GAUGAAUGCUGGCGGCGUGCCUAACACAUGCAAGUCGAGCGGCAGCGCGAGAAGUUUACUUCUCGGCGGCGAGCGGCGGACGGCUGAGUAACGCGUGGGAACGUGCCCCAAAGUGAGGAAUAACUGCCCGAAAGGGUGGCUAAUGCCGCAUAUGAUCUUCGGAUUAAAGGAUUUAUCCGCUUUGGGAGCGGCCCGCGUUAGAUUAGGUAGUUGGUAGGGUAAUGGCCUACCAAGCCGACGAUCUAUAGCUGGUCUGAGAGGAUGAUCAGCCAGACUGGAACUGAGACACGGUCCAGACUCCUACGGGAGGCAGCAGUGAGGAAUCUUCCACAAUGGGCGAAAGCCUGAUGGAGCAACGCCGCGUGCAGGAUGAAGGCCCUAGGGUCGUGAACUGCUUUUAUAAGUGAAGAAUAUGACGGUAACUUAUGAAUAAGCACCGGCUAACUACGUGCCAGCAGCCGCAGUAA